rnacentral:sRNA from 1 species
GAGUAAACGCGUUAAGGAUUGAAACGACAUCCUUUUUGCUUUUUUCAAGCUAAAAGAUAUAGUGGAAAGCCUGUUAAAAC